ACGCACGCUGGCGGCGUGCUUAACCCCUGCACGUCGCACGGAAAGGCCCUGCUUUUGUGGGGUGCUCGAGUGGCGAACGGGUGAGUAACACGUGAGUAACCUGCCCUUGACUUUGGGAUAACUUCAGGAAACUGGGGCUAAUACCGGAUAGGAGCUCCUGCUGCAUGGUGGGGGUUGGAAAGUUUCGGCGGUUGGGGAUGGACUCGCGGCUUAUCAGCUUGUUGGUGGGGUAGUGGCUUACCUAGGCUUUGACGGGUAGCCGGCCUGAGAGGGUGACCGGCCACAUUGGGACUGAGAUACGGCCCAGACUCCUACGGGAGGCAGCAGUGGGGAAUAUUGCACAAUGGGCGGAAGCCUGAUGCAGCAACGCCGCGUGCGGGAUGACGGCCUUCGGGUUGUAAACCGCUUUCGCCUGUGACGAAGCGUGAGUGACGGUAAUGGGUAAAGAAGCACCGGCUAACUACGUG
rnacentral:rRNA from 1 species